AAAAAGUUUUGGUUUUGAAGAGCUUUGGUUUUCCUGAGCUCAUACAUGCUUUCCUGCCAUUGCCUUUCGACAUCCGUCUCCAGGGCUCCAGUUUCCUCAGCCUCCAGCAGACUUGCACCUGCAGCUCUCCAGUGAGCCUCCAGGUCUUCCACCUUGGACUGGUGCUGACUCCUUGACCCUUCUAGUGGUGUGACUUUCAGCUUCUUGGCCCGAGCAGCUACCGGAUCCCUGGCUGUCCAAUGUCCAGAUGGCCCCUUCUGCCUCUGCUUCUGCAGGGGGCACUGUGGACCCCACUUCUAAUCCUGUGAGCUCUCUAUGUCUUCAUGUUUUUAAUACACAUCUGCAAUAACUCUGUGAAAGAAAGGAAGUUCUCCUACAUUCUCUCAGUAUUAGGACUGCGUCUGAGAGACUUCACAUUGACAUUCGUACUGUGCAAGCAAUGCCUGGAGGGGAAGCAGCCACCCUGGAGCAGGGCAGCUGUGUGACCAUGGACAGGUGGCAAAGCAGGCUGGGGACGGCACUGCUCUCAGGACCUGGGCUCCAGCACUGCGACUCCUUGUCUGAAAGCAAAGCAUCC
rnacentral:lncRNA from 1 species